ensembl:lincRNA
AGAACACUGCGGCUAUUGUCCUGUUAAAACGAACAAAUUCCCCUCUACCAAACUGUCCAUUUUAUGUUUGGCGGGAAAGGAAGGGGGUAUGCCUCUUCCGAGCAUGCCACACUUCUGCUGGUAAAUGCUCCUUUCCUAUAAUUGACUGAAUGCACACAAGUGCCCUUCCGCACCCACCAAGAAAUAGCAGGUCCUGACAUGGGAAUGGAACCAUAUUUCCUUGCUCUUUUAUCAACAUCGUAAAAUCUCUUCAUCCUUUCCAAGUAGAGGGGAGUUUUGGCAAAGAGGGGAGUUUUUUCUCCAGGGUGACAAAAAGCACUUUCUCUCUACUCUUUUGUUGUGCCGUUGGAUUCGAAACCCUUUUGCCCCGAGAACAAUACACUGCAGAGUUACUUUAUGUUGCCGCUUUCCGCUGUGCUUUCUCCGACCCUUGGAAUAAUAGGCCGCCAUUUUAAAGGCAGAGAACAUGUAGCUGCAGUGAAUCUAAGUUGAAUGCAAGUCAGGCCCGUAAGUACUGCUACUCCAACUCUUGGCUGGACUGCUCUAAGAGGUUUGAUUUAAAGAAAGCAAUGUGGCACUCCAGUUAGAAGGCCCAGCAAGCAGGAAAUGGACUCACACAUCAAUAGAAUGCUAACCACCCCGGUGGGCACACAACCCAGAAGGAGGGAAGCUUUCAAGGAGGUGCAGUUCUGACUCCCUUAACAUGAAGGUGGAAUACAGAAGAAGCCCUGCGGCAGGAUGGAGAUGGACAGAUGUGUCAGGACUUGGCAUCUGAAUUUGCGAGGUUUCUGUCUCUAAACGAGAGCUUCCUAACCAUGGCACUGACCCCCGCCCCUUCCUUCACAGUGCAGGGAGAAUGAGAGAAUGAGGGUUUCUAGCGCUCCAGGUCUAAAGAAAAAGAAGCCCACAGCCUCCUCAGGACUAACAACUCUGACUGAUAAUGCAGCCCUCCUUUUAACCAAAAUCCCUCCUGGUGGAUCUAGAAUUCAUCUGUCAGCCCCUUGAUGAGCUCCACUGAAGGACAGCACUGGGAUCACCUGCAUUGCUUCUCCCAUGUACCUGGUGAAGAAAACAGAUGGCAGAGGAGCCCAUCCUCACUGCUGUGACGUGGAGUGGGAAAUAACUAACUGGAGAUGCCAUUGACAGUGUCAGUGAGGGAGGUGGGUAUUGCCCCUGGAAAGAAAAUUACAUAAAGACGUAUAGCUAUAUCUUAAGGAGGCCAUUGCUACAGUGCAUAUACUGUGAAAG